rnacentral:rRNA from 1 species
CCCUUAGAUGUUCUGGGCCGCACGCGCGCUACACUGACGAAGUCAGCGAGCAUGUCCUACGCCGACAGGUGCGGGGAAUCUUGUCAAACCUCGUCGUGAUGGGGAUUGAUUAUUGAAAUUCUUGAUCAUCAACGAGGAAUUCCUAGUAAGCGCAAGUCAGCAGCUUGCGUUGAUUACGUCCCUACCCUUUGUACACACCGCCCGUCGCUACUACCGAUUGAAUGGUUUAGUGAGAUCUUCGGAUUGGCGCCACUGCGGCUCAGCAAUGGGCUCGGUGGAUGCCGAAAAGUUGAUCAAACUUGAUCAUUUAGAGGAAGUAAAAGUCGUAACA